AUUGAACGCUGGCGGCAUGCCUAACACAUGCAAGUCGAACGGCAGCACGGGAGCUUGCUCCUGGUGGCGAGUGGCGGACGGGUGAGUAAUGCAUAGGAGUCUGCCCAGUAGCGGGGGACAACUUGGGGAAACUCAAGCUAAUACCGCAUGCGCCCUACGGGGGGAAAGCGGGGGACCUUCGGGCCUCGCACUAUUGGAUGAGCCUAUGUCAGAUUAGCUUGUUGGUGGGGUAACGGCCUACCAAGGCGACGAUCUGUAGCUGGUCUGAGAGGACGAUCAGCCACACUGGGACUGAGACACGGCCCAGACUCCUACGGGAGGCAGCAGUGGGGAAUAUUGCACAAUGGGCGAAAGCCUGAUGCAGCAAUGCCGCGUGUGUGAAGAAGGCCUGCGGGUUGUAAAGCACUUUCAGUAGGGAGGAAACAGUAGCCGGUUAAUAUCCGGUUGCCUUGACGUUACCUACAGAAGAAGCACCGGCUAACU
rnacentral:rRNA from 1 species